GCUCAGUGUGGUGGUUCAUGCUUAUAGACCCAGCUACUUGGCAGGAUUGAAGUAGAAGGAUCACUGGAGCCCAGGAGUUCUGGGCUGUAGUGUGCUAUGUCCAUGGGAUGUCUGCAUUAAGUUUAGCAUCAGUAUGGUGAUCUCUUGGUAGUGGGGGAUGACUAGGUUGCCUAAGCAGGGUUGAACCAGCCUAGGUUGGAAACAGGUCAAAAUUCCCAUGCUGAGUGGUAGUGGGAUUAUACCUAUGUACUCCAGCCUAGACAACAUAGCAAGACCUUGUCUCU
rnacentral:SRP_RNA from 1 species